rnacentral:rRNA from 1 species
AGAGUUUGAUCAUGGCUCAGGAUGAACGCUAGCUACAGGCUUAACACAUGCAAGUCGAGGGGAAACGACAUCGAAAGCUUGCUUUUGAUGGGCGUCGACCGGCGCACGGGUGAGUAACGCGUAUCCAACCUGCCCAUCACUUGGGGAUAACCUUGCGAAAGUAAGACUAAUACCCAAUGACGUCUCUAGAAGACAUCUGAAAGAGGUUAAAGAUUUAUCGGUGAUGGAUGGGGAUGCGUCUGAUUAGCUUGUUGGCGGGGUAACGGCCACAAGGCGACGAUCAGUAGGGGUUCUGAGAGGAAGGUCCCCCCANAUUGGAACUGAGACACGGUCCAAAACUCCUACGGGAGGCA